CUGUCUAGGCAUGUUGAUAUUAAGUGGCAACUUACGAUUAUAUGUGUUCAGUCAGAAAUCCUUGGUAGGUGCUUUUUACACCCAGUCCAAUCCUGAACAUUCUUCCCAAAGACUGGGAAUCUUUGGGAAUCAGAUUAUAUUGUAAUAAUUGAAUUUAUUAUGUCGUCAAUUGUUGACAUAAGACAAAGUGGUGUGCUACAUAAACUUGUGUCUUUUACCCAAUCAACCCAAUCAUUCAUCCCCAAAUCAGACUAGGAGAUAUUUGGAAAUGCAAAUAUACAUAUAUAUAUAAUCUUAUAAUAUUAUAUAUAUAAUCUCCCCAAAGCAAAUAGAAAGGUUAGUUUGCUGAAAACAAUGGUGCACCACAAAACAAAGCUGUUUUUAUUUUGAAUUGUUUUCCACAACACUGGUGGUUUAAUAUUGUCAGUAAUAGCACUCUCAUGCAUUCGAAUGACCGCCUGCACUCCCAUGGUGUUCACAGAAUCGACAUGAUUGUUGACUAGGCAUGUCCAUUGUGGAAAGGAAGGCAGAAUACUAUUCACCAGGAGGAAAGUGAAAACAUCUUUUGUGGUUAUGGACAGAAAGAUCAUAAAAUAUUAACCUUAACAUUUGCACCAUUGUACACUGGAUUUUCUUGCACAUCUGUUCUUGUGUUCUGAGAGUCAUCACUGCAAUUACAUUUAUGAGUCAGCUGAAGUAAAUAUUAAGAAUAGUAAAAGUAAUGACAAUAACAACAGCAGCAGCAGGUUAUUGGAAACCUAUUUUGUCCUGGCUAUCUUUGAGAUUCAUGUGAGCUCUGUGAGAACAGGGAGUUUUGUCUGAUUACUGCUGUAUUCUCAGUGCCUAGAACCAUGCCUGGGAACACAGUGUAGGCUCUGUAAAUAGUGGUGGAAUAAAUAAGCAAGUAUUAUGUUCCAAGCAUAUUUAAUCUGUUUUUAAAUUUGUUCAUUGUGUGUUUCUCCCUAUUAGAAUAUGAGUUCCAUGUAGACUGGGACCUUAUCUGUCUUAUUCACCAUGUCUCCUAUUGCCUAGAGCAGUAUACUGCAUAUGAUACUCAAUAAAUAAUUGUUGAAUGAAUAACCAUUAAACUUUGAGUAUUUCUACCUAAACUUGGUUAUUUCCUGGGCAUUUAUUUACUUCAGAAAAGAGGGAGCUGACAUUGAACUAGUCCUUCAGUUGAAAGCUAUUUGAGUAAAAGUCACAACAAAGGGCUGAAAGAUAGGAAGGGGAAACCAAUAGAGAUUAUUUCCUAAAAGAAACUGGAAAUGACAAAAUUAUAGAAAUGGAGAACAAAGAUUUGAAGAAGGUAGGAGCAGGAUGGGGUGGGCAAAAAGCAAGUAUAGCUAUAACAAGGCAACUCAGGGAUCCUUGUGGUGAUGGAGUUGUUCUCUAUCUUGACUGCGUCAAUGUCAGUGUCCUGAUUGUGAUGUUAUACUAUCGUUUUGAAAGAUGUUUCCAUUGGGAGAAACUGGUUAAAUGCUACAAGAGAGCUCUUUGUAUUAUUUCUUACAAUUUCAUGUGAGUCUACAAUUAUCUCAAAAUAAAAUGUUUAGUUAAAAAGUCACUGUAAAUGAAUCAGAAAUAAUGCACUUCAAGUAUUUAUAUAUUUAAAUACAGAUAGAAAUUUUGCUCACAUAUGGAAUGCUCAGUUCUAACUUUAUUUUCAAAGGAUUGAUGGAGAUAUCUCAGAAGCCCAAGCCAGCAAUUACUGACACAAGACAAAGCAGUAUGCUACAUUAACAUGUGUGUUUUACCCAUCUCUAUUGCCAUGAAAAAUAUUUCUAAAAUCCAAAAUGUCAUGUUUUCAAGUUAUUCUCAAAGCUACUGGCAGUUGUAGCUGUUUGUAACAUUGAUUUUCAGUCUGGAAUGUAUGCUGAACAACUCAAACAUGGCUCUGGGAUUUGGCAUGUAGGUCUGUUCACUCUUUUCAAUGAUUUUGGAUGACAUCCAAACAAACUCAUAAAUGUAAUAUUCAGAGCAUGCUCCUCUUGUUUCCCAGCCAUCUCCCAACACAUAACUCACUUUGAUGGGUGUGGAUACUUCACACCUCUCUUCAUUUUAAACAAGAAGGAAGGAGUCAAAAAAUUGUGGAAAAGGAAGACCCAUUUUUAAAUAGCAGCCUAGUAUGUGAGUCUCCCAGCAUUGCAGUCUCCAACUCCUUGGCAGCAACUUUUUGUGUUUGUUUGGUAUCAUAUGUAAAUAAUAAUUGUACAAAUAUAAAUAUACAUCAAUUCUUGUACCAAUGUUGUGUCCAAAUUGAUCACUCCUUUGAAAUCUUACAUAACAGUUACAAACUAACAUCUUCAAGCUUCUUGUUUUGCAUAGGAUCAACUCACUUAAGUAAGAAAUUGUACACACAAUGAGAUCACUAUAAAUAAAAAUUGUGCGAAAAUUGUUUCAUUUUAUGAAACUUUUGUGAAACUAUCACAUUUGGUAAAUAUUUAAAUUUAAUCUUAUUUUAUGCUAUUUAAAAUCUUCCAUUUAUAGAUUGCUUCUAAUUCUAAUAAAAGGAUGUAUGUUAAUGGUUGUUAAGCUACUUGAACCUCAUUAAAUUCAGAAUUAUUUUCUGAUUGAUACUUAAUACAGUAUAUUUCAUAAUUUUAUAAACUGUUGUAGUACCUGAAGUACAAAUUAUCCCCUUGAUACUGUUUUCUUCUUACAUAGCUGUCUGACAACUAUUAUUUCAUUUAAACCUCAUUUUCCAAAUAUAAAUCUAAUAUAUAUUUAAUGUAAAAUUGUGUAAUACAUAGGGGCCGGCCUGGUGGCAUAGUGGUUGGGUUCAUGCACUCUUCUUUGGCGGCCUAGGGUUCACAGGUUCAGAUCCCAGGAGUGGACCUAGCACCGCUCAUCAAGCCACACUGUGGCAGCAUCCUACAUAAAAUAGAGGAAGAUUGGCACAGAUGUUACCUCAGCAACAAUCUUCCUCACCAAAAAAAAAAAAAAAAAAA
ensembl:lncRNA